UAAUACGAAGGGGGCUAGCGUUGUUCGGAUUUACUGGGCGUAAAGCGCACGUAGGCGGAUCGUUAAGUGAGGGGUGAAAUCCCAGGGCUCAACCCUGGAACUGCCUUUCAUACUGGCGAUCUCGAGUCCGGAAGAGGUGAGUGGAACUCCUAGUGUAGAGGUGGAAUUCGUAGAUAUUAGGAAGAACACCAGUGGCGAAGGCGGCUCACUGGUCCGGUACUGACGCUGAUGUGCGAAAGCGUGGGGAGCAAACAGGAUUAGAUACCCUGGUAGUCCACGCCGUAAACUAUGAGAGCUAGCCGUUGGAGGGUUUACCCUUCAGUGGCGCAGCUAACGCAUUAAGCUCUCCGCCUGGGGAGUACGGUCGCAAGAUU
rnacentral:rRNA from 1 species